UGUGGGAGCGAGCCUGCUCGCGAUUGCGGAGUGUCAGAUAACAAAGUUGUUGGCUGAUACCGCACUAUCGCGAGCAGGCUCGCUCCCACA
rnacentral:misc_RNA from 1 species